GAGCGGGAAGAUAUUAAAGAAUCCAUAUCUACUCAGGAUCUCCCAACAGCGGUAAACACGAUCAAAGAAUUCCUGAAAAACAGGAUCAUGUAGAACUUAACGUUGGUGUGACAGGGGAGUCCGGUUCUGGAAAGUCCACGUUUGUCAGUGCAUUCAGGGGUUUAGGGGAUGAAGAAGAGGGCUCUGCUCACCCAAAAUACAAAAAUGUGAAAGUGUGGGAUCUUCCUGUCAUUGGAACACCAAACUUCAAAGCCGAUGAGUAUCUUAAACUGGUUGAGUUUGAACGCUAUGAUUUUUUCAUCAUCAUUGCUUCAGAUCGGUUCAGAGAAUGCCACACUCAGCUGGCCAAAGAGAUCAUGAGAAUGGGGAAAAGGUUUUAUUUUGUUCGUUCUCAGAUUGACUCAAGCAUUGAUUCUUAGAAGAGGAAGAAGAGAUUUGACCAGAAAAAGAUAGUUUUGUCAGUUUUGUCCUCAGCCAAAUGUUUAUAAAGUGAUUGAAACAAUAGCAUGCUUCUCUGGACAGCAAACCAUAGAAUAUCAUGCACUUUCCCCAAAAGAAACUUUUUUCCUUUAUUGAAAAGGGGAAAAAUGCCUCUACACUGGUGAUUCUUUUUAACUCUUUUUAUUUUUACCAAACAGUGCUGCAGUCCUGUCUAGCAAGUCUCUUACCCUCAUGUGUGUUGAAAAAAAUGUUCCCUUUUCAGAGUAACUUCAAACCUGGGUGUGUACAAUUACUUUAGAGUUGUUUGAGAAGGUGUCUGUGUUUGACAAAUGUCCUGACACUCUUUAUUCAUGACUUACUGUACAGCUUUUUAUUAACAACAAGUUACAGAACCGGUUUGAACAACCUUUUGUCAAAAACUCUGAUUGUAAUAAUGAUAAUAUAAUGAGGCAUCAAAGGUCCAUUCAGUGCUUCCUUACAAGAAACAAAAAAGAAUGUCGUUGCAGCUCUGAAUAAACAUUCCAUGCUAUUUUAAUCUUCUGUGAAUGCAGAUAUACCCCAUAGUGUCCAAAACUGUAAAGUUAAAAAAGUGGUUAAAUUAGACUAAAAUAUUAUAAUUACAAUACUUUUUGUUUAAAAAAAUAAAUGUAAAUAUUUUUUUUAAGUCACUAAAGGCUUAAGGGGUGAUUUUGCCUUCUAGAAAAAAGUCUUACUCAGAUCAACCGAAUACUAACAUUAUUUCAUUUUCAACUAAACAUUUUCUUUCUUUUCUCUCUUUUGUUUUUGUAACUAUCAAGGACUAAGGAAUUUUUCUGAUUGUUGUUGUUUGUUAUAUAUGCCAUGUGAUCUCAUGAAUAUUUGCAUGUGUUUUGCAUGAAGUAUGGCUCAACGACACACAUUCUAUAGACCAUUUACUUAAUUUAAAUUUCUUAACUUAAUUUUUAAUCAUCAGCUGUCAAAUUUUGCUGUUAUCUGUGACUUCUGGUGCCAUAUUCAACUCUUUUCAAGGGAUUACAUGAUAUGGGAAUGAUUUAAAAUAUGCUGGCUUUGCUGAAUAUCAUACCUUAGUUGGGGGAAAAUCUAGAAACUAAUAUUGUAAGAGUAGCCUUCCUGUCCGUUUGUGUGGCUUCAGAUUCUGUUGCUGGGCUUUUAAUUUGUUGUCAAUUUAAUUAUUUAUUUAAUUUAUUUAUUUAAUUUGCUCAGCCCCAGACAAAACCAGAAGCCUCUGGGUGUUAAUGCACAGAUAUGAACAAAAUCUUCCACUAUGUUACUAUGAUGAUUCAUAGCAGUGAAAGUGAAAGCAUUCCUUGGGUGGCUCUCGAUGCUAUUGUUUGCAUAAAGUAGAAAAGUUUAGGUCCGGGUUUCACAGGCUUCACUUCAGAUCAUCUGCUGUCAGGGUCUUCUUGCUGCUCAGAAGAAUUUGUGAAUUUCACAUCUGUGAAGGAAGCAACAGCACUUGUCUUCUCUGUAUAAUAAUUCUUCCUGCGUCUCGUGCUCUGAAAUAUAAAGAUAGCUAUGAUGGAUGAUUUCUAUAUGAUAACUCAGGAGGACCUGGAAGAUAUUAAAGAAUCCAUAUCUACUCAGGAUCUCCCAACAGCGGUAAACACGAUCAAAGAAUUCCUUGAAAAACAGGAUCAUGUAGAACUUAACGUAGGUGUGACAGGGGAGUCCGGUUCUGGAAAGUCCACGUUUGUCAACGCAUUCAGGGGUUUAGGGGAUGAAGAUGAGGGUUCUGCUCAAACUGGCCCUGUAGAAACCACUAUGGAGCCUGAAGCUUAUUUUCACCCAAAAUACAAAAAUGUGAAAGUGUGGGAUCUUCCUGGCAUUGGAACACCAAACUUCAAAGCCGAUGAGUAUCUUAAACUGGUUGAGUUUGAACGCUAUGAUUUUUUCAUCAUCAUUGCUUCAGAUCGGUUUAGAGAAUGCCACACCCAGCUGGCCAAAGAGAUCAUGAGAAUGG